UCCAUGCACUCAGCUUUCCCAUCUGUGAAAUACAACAAUUGGACACCAUGUAUUUUGCAACUUGCCUAUUCAUAAAUAUCUUAUUGAACACUUGUUAUUAAAUCCAGAUUUCCAUAUUGCUUCCUUGGAGAUGCUGGCUGAGUAAGUCUAGCAGUAACGUCCAAGGAUCUGCAUUUUAACAAAUGACCCAGGAAAGCCUCUAUAAACAUCAAUUUAGGAGACACUGGAACUCAUGACAUCUAAAAGGUCUUCCAGGUCUGUAUUCUCCAGAAGCCAGCUGGUCACUAUUAAGCUUCCACUCCCUACAUAGUCCUGCUAGAUCAUCAAGAUCAUAGGAGUAAUAGCUACUAUUUCUAUAGUGCCAGCCACUAUUCUAAAUGCUUCCCAUACAUGAACUAUUUUAGUCUUCACAAUAAACCUAUAAGGCGGGUACUAUUAUCUUUAAAAAUUUUUUAAUGUUUAUUUAUUUUUGAGAGACAGAGAGAGACCGAGUGCAGGGGAGGGGCAGACAGAGAGGGAGACACAGAAUCUGAAACAGGCUUCAGGCUUUGAGCUAUCAGUACAGAGCCCGACACAGGUCUCAAACUUGGGAACGGCGAGACCAUGACGUGAGCUGAAACCUGAUGCUCACCCGACUGAGCCACCCAGGCGCCCCACACAGGGUUAAAUUUUACUAAGAGACUUACAUGGGGUUAAAUUUACUAAGAGUUACUAAGUGAACUCAAGUUCACAUCCUAAAGGAAUUUCUUUGGCUCUUGUGUUUGAGAGGAAAUUGCUCAAUGUUCCUGAAUUAUCCUUACUAAUAGCUCAGCCACACUUAAAGAGCUGAAUAUAGUAAUGCAUGAUUAAUUUGGACCUGUUAAAAAGAGAGAUUGCAUUAAUUUGGGAGGGGUCAGAUUCACUGGACCUUUUUAAUAGAGAUAUUUUUCCCCUGUGCAAUAAUAAUAUAUUCUAAUCACAAAUUAAGGCCAAUUUUUAGAUCCAGGCUUUUAGCUUUGAUAUGGGUUGAGAUGCACUGUAAAAUCUCCCAAUCACCUAUGCCCUGGCCCAUCAUUACCAAUUGUUAGGGAUUUUUUUCCUCUGGUUUAACAAGCAUUCUUGUUCUGAAUUUAAAUAACUAAUGGAAAAGAGAAGGAAAUAACUGAUAUUAAAACACACAGAAAAGAACACAACCAAUGCAAUGAUUUUCCCAGUUCUUUAUCAUAUCAUUUAUUCAUCAUGAUCAUAACCUUGGAGGUAGAUAAUAUUAGCCCUACCUUAAAGGUGAAGAUAGGGGAUCACAAAGCUACUAGAUGAUAACACCAGCUUUGAGAACAGGUGUCGAACCUCCAGAUCAAGAAGCUGCCUUUAUUACAUCAGGCAGCAUCUUCUUUCAAAGGCAGUACACUUGAAGGAGGCCACAUGUUUGUCACACUAGGGAAUAAAUGAUGUAAUGGGGAAAAGAGUACUUUCAAGUCCACUGGACUGAAUUUGAAUCAAAAAUGCAUCUCUCUAACUAAAUGUAUAACCUUGAGCCAAGUCUCUUAAUCUCUCUGUGGCUGUUUCCCCACCUAUGAAAGAGAAUACCAUCGAUUCCCUCCCUAUGAGGAGUAACUGAAAUUACGAGGUAACAAUUAGGGCACCUGGUGGCUCGGUCGAUUA